UACGUAGGGUGCAAGCGUUGUCCGGAAUUAUUGGGCGUAAAGAGCUCGUAGGUGGCGGGUCACGUCGGGUGUGAAAGCCCGGAGCUUAACUCCGGGUCUGCAUUCGAUACGGGUCUGCUGGGGUCCGGCAGGGGAGACUGGAAUUCCUGGUGUAGCGGUGAAAUGCGCAGAUAUCAGGAGGAACACCGGUGGCGAAGGCGGGUCUCUGGGCCGGUACCGACGCUGAGGAGCGAAAGCGUGGGGAGCGAACAGG
rnacentral:rRNA from 1 species